UAUCAAGGAACUCUGGCUAAGUUCGCCGCAUCCUGCGGCAACGAUUGCAUGACUCACAUCCUGUGAG
rnacentral:sRNA from 1 species